GGUGGGGUUCCCGAGCGGCCAAAGGGAGCAGACUGUAAAUCUGCCGUCAUCGACUUCGAAGGUUCGACUCGAGCGCCAGCGAGAGAGCGUUGCCGCAGGCAACGACCCGAAGGGCGAAGCGCGCAGCGCUGAGUAAUCCUUCCCCCACCACCA
rnacentral:tRNA from 1 species